GUGUUCACCUCGGCAGCACAUAUACUAAAAUUGGAAUGAUACAGAGAUUAGCCUGACCCCUGCACGAGGAUGACACCUAAAUUUCGUGACGCAUUCCAUAUUAAA